rnacentral:lncRNA from 1 species
CCCAGCCACCCUCUUGAGAAAGGGGAGAAUGGCCAUCAGCAAUGCAGAGUUCAUUUUAUAAGCAUCUCUCUUGUAUGUGAUCUCUCAUUUCCUUUUGAAGAUAAAAGGCGAGUGAUGAGUGUCCCCUUGGUCUAGUUUUCCUGUCUUCUUUCUGUUGUCUUUCACCUAAAAACCUAGCUAUGAAAAAGCAAGGACUCAGCUGGGCACAUGGUGCAUUAGAAUUCACAUUCCAUCUGAAUAAUAUUAAAUCUCCCUCUUGGCAUCCUGUUUAUGCUAAUCUUUUUCGGGACUUAAUGAUGUUUAUCAGGACUUCCAUUUCCUCUUCUUUAGAAAUGUGCUCAGCUAAUGAAGGAAGGUUGGUUUUCUUGAGAAAGAAAGAUUCAUAAGAAGAGUAUGCAGCAGAUUCUUAUUCUGAGCAUUGCAGGUUCAGCCUCUCACUGCGGUGACUUCAUAUUCAUCAGGAAUAGGUAUAAUCUAUUCUGUGCACAGUUGAUUUAGGGCAGAAAUAAAAGCUCAGACAACAAAGCAAGGCUCCUCUUACACACUACUAUGUCUGAAUACAAAUGGUUCAUAAUUGAAGGCUAAACUUCCUCAUCUCACC